GUUAUGAUUUACAAACGCGGCUAUUUUGGCGAAUUUUACUGGGCGCAGCACCCUGGAGACCACUGAUGAUGAAGUCGAAAAUGACGUCAGCGACAGAACUCUUCCUCCUCACUCACUUGCUGAUGCCCGUGGUAUUGAUGGGACAGGAGGUGGAGCUGUGCUCUGAACAUGUCAAUUUUGGAUAAUUUCGGUACUUCCACAUUAAAAUAAUUACUUGGCUGUUCAGUUAAAUGUCAUACAAAUGUGUGCUACUGUCAUCCGGAGUGCAGUAUUCAGGAGGGGGUCUCACAGUUAGGCUGGUCUAUCAGGCUAUUCAUGUUGGUUUGCACAUCGGAUCCGUCGCUGGGGACAAGGCUAGCUCUUCAAAGACCCGUCAAAUCAUGUUGUGAAACAAACGACGUGAAGGCCUACUUUAGAUUUACAAGGACUACAGAAGAAAUGGGAUCCCAAAUUGGAACUGGAAGCAGAUCAUGGGUCACACCAUGCAACCAAACAAUUUCUGCACCGCUGAGCGAAAAAGAGAUGCAAUACUUCACACCCUGAAUAUGUACCUGGGGGGAAUUGCCAGAAGAUUUUUUUUGUGUGGGGCGAAGAUGAAGCAUGGCAGGACUGAGUGUAGGCUAUAUAUACACUGCAGGUGUAUACACUGCUGGUUGUAUUCUUCAUGUAAGAGAUGUAUCUGUAAGCUGUGAGACACUUGUUA